rnacentral:lncRNA from 1 species
GGGGGCAGGUGGUGGACAUGGGUUGGUUUGAUUUUAUCCUACGACUGCAGUCAAUCCUUGGAUGGCUCAUAAUGGUUCGAUAAAUUCGGCCUUGGUUCGGUGAUCCAGAACUUCAAGUCACUCAGUAUGCUCUACGGAUGGUCUUCCUCGCGUCAUUCCUGCAAAAGAAAGGAAGAUAUAAGUUGGUGGUCUAAAUUUUUUUUUUGAUAAGAGAACUUAUUCUUCUUAUGUACUUCUAAUGGAAUUUGCUCUCCGUAAUUCUACUUUGAUAUAAUCUGUGAUAUUCCAAGUGUUAAUCAAGGUAAAUGGGUGUCAGAUAGAGAAACAAAAAAACAAG